CCAAUAGCGUAUAUUAAAGUUGUUGCAGUUAAAAAGCUCGUAGUUGAAUUUCGGGGUUAGUAGGCUGGUCGUGCCACUGGUAUGUACUGGUCUCACUGAUUCCUCCUUCCUGAUGAGCUGUAAUGCCAUUAAUUUGGUGUUGCAGGGAAUCUGGACUGUUACUUUGAAAAAAUUAGAGUGUUUAAAGCAGGCUAACGCUUGAAUACAUUAGCAUGGAAUAAUGAAAUGGGACGUUCGAUCCUAUUUUGUCGGUUUCUAGGAUUGACGUAAUGAUUAAUAGGGAUAGUUGGGGGCAUUAGUAUUCAAUUGUCAGAGGUGAAAUUCUUGGAUUUAUUGAAGACUAACUACUGCGAAAGCAUUUGCCAAGGAUGUUUUCAUUAAUCAAGAACGAAAGUUAGGGGAUCGAAGACGAUCAGAUACCGUCGUAGUCUUAACCAUAAACUAUGCCGACUAGGGAUCGGAUGAUGUUAAUUUUUUAAUGACUCAUUCGGCGCCUUACG
rnacentral:rRNA from 1 species